UCGCCGCGUACGGACGUGCGUCGCGCGCUUUGUGUGUGUCUCCUGCCCGGGGAAGGCCGAAUUACGUACGUUGCGUGUUGCGCGUGAAGCUGCCGAGUAUCGAAACGUUUACAGUGCUACGCAACCGGCCGACUGGUGCUUAAUAUUAGACCGUGUGAUCGCGGUUCCCGUUCGCCUCUGUGCGUUCCUUCGUUAGUGUUUGUGUAUGAUGUGUAUGUGUGUGUGUAUGUGCAAGUGUCUAUGUGGUGUGGUAUAAGUGAUUGAUCUUCCACCGGCAAGGCGACAGCAGGAGAUCAAAGAUUAGAGAAGAAAAAUCGUCUCCGCUGGAUACGGUUUGUAGCGAGGCAAUUUCCCUUGCUUGCGUUUUCUGGAAGGCAAUGUGAGAGUGAAAGUGAAAAAUUCUCGUUCCUUCGCUGUGGAAAGAAAAAAGAAGAGAGUUCAAUAUAUUCAAUCAAAGGAAAGGUUAUUUUCCCCUCAUUCCGAGCAAUCCUUGUGUGCAGUGCUGUGAUUCUGUGAGCGUUUGCGGCUUUGAAAAGCAAAGGGUUGACGAAAAUAAAUCGCAAAAAAAAAAAAAAUCAAUUCAAAUUAUUAAAUUAAGGUGUGCUUUUUGUGUAAAAAAGAAGAGGCCAGUUUCAAGGUUGCGAAUCAGCUGGAUAUUGAAACACACUUCAAAGUACCGGAUCCUAACAUUCGCCCUGUGGACAGGGAAGUUCUUCUACUCUCAGACGUCAAUAAGAAAGAUAAGAUGUCAUCGAAAGGACACUUAAAUACUUAACCGAGCCAUCGAACGCGUCCUGCAAUCUUUCAGCAUAAGGUAAUUUAACGCGAUUCGGCGCCUUUCGCCAUAACCCAAAUCUGGACCGUAUGGGGCCAAGCACACACGAAGCAGGGAAGCAAGUAAAACCGUAUUACAGCUUCGGGAGGUACGUCGAAAGGCUUGGAACAUUUUCCGAUAUCAACGAGAAUUUUGAAAACGCCUUUCCAGCGCACUUGCACCUAAUUGCAGCAGAAUGGAUUACGUGGACCCCGGAGUAGCAACCAAAGCCACGAAAAAGAGAUGAGCUACGACGACCCGAUCCCGAUCGUUCUGUGCUCGAUAGUGUAAAAAAAAGAUCGUUGACCGAAAAGGAAUUGCAAACAGAGCCCUUGCGGACGUAAGAAAAAUAGCAUAACAAGACUGAAAUAAAAGCAAACGGAACAUAAUACAAUCUCACAGUAAAUCCAAUUAUGUUGCGCUUGCCUAUGAAUGUUCAGGUUUUUUAUUUUAAAUUAGUGAGGUUUGUAGUGUGGUGGAGAGCGAGUAAAAAAAAUGUUCAUUUCAGAGCUUCCAUAAAUUCCGCCUACACGCCUAGCAAAAACAGCAAAGAAUUGGAGCUUCCUUUUUCUUAUUUGCAUCCUCUUUUUCACGAGUUUGCGCUGAGGUCAAUAAUUUACUUUCCUCCCAGUAUCAAUAUUCACACAUAAUUAAUCGCCCAUGAAACGAUACAAUGAUCAUGGAUGGAGUUCCAUCCUACCAGCACCUCUGUGAAAACUAGCUUACAGACAGCGUAGAAAGAGAACGAUAUCGAUUAUUAUACAACCGAACCGUUUGUUUGCGUUGUUAUCGUUGGUUGUGCCAUGGUGACACCAGCGAAGGAGUAGGAAUUAUGUGGCUUCAUAAAUAAACAUCCAACACCAAAUUGUAUUCCAAACUUUUCGCUGCCCCACCGAGCGUGUGGGCUGCUUUUUGCGUACAGCAAAUGUGUUUUUGACACAACGAACUGAGCAAGUGUGUGGCCCUCCCGCCGUGUGGGCAUCAUUUGGUUUCUUGUCUUCGUUUAUUCACAAAAGCUAUCUGACGAACAGGAGGAGCAAAAAGGAAAACCUGAUGUAUGAGAGUGUGUUUUGUUUUUGCUGGCGUGAAUGAACAUGAAAACUAAAUCAAAAACUUGAACUAACCAAACAGAAAGACGUCCGAUAACGUCUCCGGCCGGUGUGCCGUGCUCGAUAAGAACGCGUGCCUUCUAAUCCAAUAAGUGACUGUUGUCGACGAUAGGGGAAUUAUGGUCGUAAAACGCAGCUUUACAUAUCAGAACGCCCACAGGGGCGAGGGGUUUUGGGUUUCGAGCAGAGGGUGUGAAACAGAAGAUAGAGAAGAAGCUUGCUGGUGAGCCGUGUGUGGCGAAGUUGAUAUAUUCCUACUCCACUAUAGCACUAGCAUCUCGAACGAUGGGAUGAGAGUUUCAUCAGCUACGCCGGAACGAUUACCGGUACGAACGUAGGAAAGAAAGCUGCUUUAGCGUGUAAAGUUGGUUAAGUACGUGUGGAUUAUUCUUAUUGCCUAGUUGUUCAAUGUUUUAAAUUGAAUUUCUAUUAUUUUAAUUAGCAGACAUUAAAAAGAAGAAGUACACUCUUUGAACGGGUUAUCGUACAUAGCGCCACCUGUGGAAAAUGAUGUUUAUUCCGAUGUAUAGAGCAGAUUGCAACUCUUGAAAGCGCUUCAGUGAACAGUGGGAUGGUUUAGAACGUACUAGGUGACAUUUAAAUUUUGUUGCUCAAUGUUAGUUCGCAAAUUUCUUGCAUAUAAAGUUGAAUAUAUAAAGAUUGCCUUCAACACAUCAUAACAAGACAUUUUUUUGUUAUUAUUAUCUCACCAUAUAGUCAGAUACACCGACAUCCUC